rnacentral:rRNA from 1 species
AGCGGUAGAGUCUCUUCGGAGACUUGAGAGCGGCGCACGGGUGCGGAACACGUGUGCAACCUGCCUUUAUCUGGGGGAUAGCCUUUCGAAAGGAAGAUUAAUACCCCAUAAUAUACUUGAUGGCAUCAUCUGGUAUUGAAAACUCCGGUGGAUAGAGAUGGGCACGCGCAAGAUUAGAUAGUUGGUGAGGUAACGGCUCACCAAGUCAGCGAUCUUUAGGGGGCCUGAGAGGGUGAUCCCCCACACUGGUACUGAGACACGGACCAGACUCCUACGGGAGGCAGCAGUGAGGAAUAUUGGACAAUGGGUGAGAGCCUGAUCCAGCCAUCCCGCGUGAAGGACGACGGCCCUAUGGGUUGUAAACUUCUUUUGUAUAGGGAUAAACCUAGAUACGUGUAUCUAGCUGAAGGUACUAUACGAAUAAGCACCGGCUAACUCCGUGCCAGCAGCCGCGGUAAUACGGAGGGUGCAAGCGUUAUCCGGAUUUAUUGGGUUUAAAGGGUCCGUAGGCGGAUCUGUAAGUCAGUGGUGAAAUCUCACAGCUUAACUGUGAAACUGCCAUUGAUACUGCAAGUCUUGAGUGUUGUUGAAGUAGCUGGAAUAAGUAGUGUAGCGGUGAAAUGCAUAGAUAUUACUUAGAACACCAAUUGCGAAGGCAGGUUACUAAGCAACAACUGACGCUGAUGGACGAAAGCGUGGGGAGCGAACAGGAUUAGAUACCCUGGUAGUCCACGCCGUAAACGAUGCUAACUCGUUUUUGGGUUUUCGGAUUCAGAGACUAAGCGAAAGUGAUAAGUUAGCCACCUGGGGAGUACGAACGCAAGUUUGAAACUCAAAGGAAUUGACGGGGGCCCGCACAAGCGGUGGAUUAUGUGGUUUAAUUCGAUGAUACGCGAGGAACCUUACCAAGGCUUAAAUGGGAAAUGACAGGUUUAGAAAUAGACUUUUCUUCGGACAUUUUUCAAGGUGCUGCAUGGUUGUCGUCAGCUCGUGCCGUGAGGUGUUAGGUUAAGUCCUGCAACGAGCGCAACCCCUGUCACUAGUUGCCAUCAUUAAGUUGGGGACUCUAGUGAGACUGCCUACGCAAGUAGAGAGGAAGGUGGGGAUGACGUCAAAUCAUCACGGCCCUUACGCCUUGGGCCACACACGUAAUACAAUGGCCGGUACAGAGGGCAGCUACACAGUGAUGUGAUGCAAAUCUCGAAAGCCGGUCUCAGUUCGGAUUGGAGUCUGCAACUCGACUCUAUGAAGCUGGAAUCGCUAGUAAUCGCGCAUCAGCCAUGGCGCGGUGAAUACGUUCCCGGGCCUUGUACACACCGCCCGUCAAGCCAUGGAAGUCUGGGGUACCUGAAGUCGGUGACCGUAACA